CUUUUGAAAUUUGAAUCACCAGCAGCUUGUAUAUCCGUAAAUCAAGCUCUCCCACCCAAUUCAGUUCAAUGUACCUACUUCUUUGUGCAUUUUAAAAUUCCUUCGUACCUCUUAUUCUCGCCAAAGCUAUAAACGCUGAUCUCUCCCUCUCUUUCUAACUGAGGAAUUCAAUUCAUGCCUUUGGAUUCAUCAAUUUGAAAGGAUUUGUGAAAUCAAAAGUAUAGGUGAGUUUGUUGAGCUCUAACCAUGUGUAUUUUUUUAGUCCUAACUUUUGUGGGAUCUGGUGAGGAUGAAAUGUAUUGAUGUUCGCAACCAUUGUUUUGUCUUUGAGGCAUCAACUAUGCCCUAUGUUCUUCUUAUUCCUCAAUACAGGCGACUAUUACUCAAAGUUCAGGGGCUUUUGGCUAUUUUCAAGAGUUUUGAUAGCGCAUAAAGGUGGAAAAGUUGUUGCUGCAGAACUAGGAAAUGCACUAUACAGCCUUGGAUAUGCAAUUUGAAUUACUGUAUGAGCACAACGAGUCUCAUUUAGGAGCUAUCUUUUGAUGCCUUUGGUAAGUUCAUUUGGUAAUGCUUAUUUACUUUGUAGGUAACUAAAAGUGACAUUUGGUUCUCUAAAACUGUGUUGUAUUAUAAUAUUAGAAAAAUAAGAUUUUAUUGAUAAUAGGUGAUAUGAAGAUGCUUUUAUACACACACGCACACACAUAUAUAUAGAGGAGCUUC